rnacentral:hammerhead_ribozyme from 1 species
AUUUAGCCGAUGAAUCCCAAGCAGGACGAAAUGCGCAUUCCAAAU